GACGAACGCUGGCGGCGUGCUUAACACAUGCAAGUCGAACGAUGAACCCGGGGCUUGCUCCGGUGGAUUAGUGGCGAACGGGUGAGUAACACGUGAGUAACCUGCCCUUGACUCUGGGAUAACUGCGGGAAACUGUAGCUAAUACCGGAUACGACCCUCGGCGGCAUCGCCAGGGGGUGGAAAGAAUUUCGGUCAAGGAUGGACUCGCGGCCUAUCAGCUAGUUGGUGAGGUAACGGCUCACCAAGGCGACGACGGGUAGCCGGCCUGAGAGGGUGACCGGCCACACUGGGACUGAGACACGGCCCAGACUCCGACGGGAGGCAGCAGUGGGGAAUAUUGCACAAUGGGCGCAAGCCCGAUGCAGCAACGCCGCGUGAGGGAUGACGGCCUUCGGGUUGUAAACCUCUUUUAGUAGGGAAGAAGCGAAAGUGACGGUACCUGCAGAAAAAGCACCGGCUAACUACGUGCCAGCCGCCGCCGUAA
rnacentral:rRNA from 1 species